rnacentral:misc_RNA from 1 species
GAAAUGCGAUAAGUAAUGUGAAUUGCAGAAUUCAGUGAAUCAUCGAAUCUUUGAACGCACAUUGCGCCCGCCAGUAUUCUGGCGGGCAUGCCUGUUCGAGCGUCAUUUCAACCAUCAAGCCCCCGGGCUUGUGUUGGGGACCUGCGGCUGCCGCAGGCCCCGAAAACCAGUGGCGGGCUCGCUGUCACACCGGGCGUAGUAGAUUUUUGGUCUCGCCCAGGGCGUGCUGCGGGUUCCGGCCGUUAAAAAGCCUCUCUUUUAACCCAAGGUUGACCUCGGAUCAGGUAGGAAGACCCGCUGAACUUAAGC